GACGAACGCUGGCGGCGUGCUUAACACAUGCAAGUCGAACGGAAAGGCCCUGCUUUUGUGGGGUGCUCGAGUGGCGAACGGGUGAGUAACACGUGAGUAACCUGCCUUUGACUUUGGGAUAACUUCAGGAAACUGGGGCUAAUACCGGAUAGGAGCUCCUGCUGCAUGGUGGGGGUUGGAAAGUUUCGGCGUUUGGGGAUGGACUCGCGGCUUAUCAGCUUGUUGGUGGGGUAGUGGCUUACCAAGGCUUUGACGGGUAGCCGGCCUGAGAGGGUGACCGGCCACAUUGGGACUGAGAUACGGCCCAGACUCCUACGGGAGGCAGCAGUGGGGAAUAUUGCACAAUGGGCGGGAGCCUGAUGCAGCAACGCCGCGUGCGGGAUGACGGCCUUCGGGUUGUAAACCGCUUUCGCCUGUGACGAAGCGUGAGUGACGGUAAUGGGUAAAGAAGCACCGGCUAACUACGUG
rnacentral:rRNA from 1 species